rnacentral:rRNA from 1 species
UGGGGAAUUUUGCGCAAUGGGGGAAACCCUGACGCAGCAACGCCGCGUGAGUGAUGAAGGCCUUCGGGUUGUAAAGCUCUUUUAGUGGGGAAGAAGCCCUCCAGGACUAAUAAUCCUGGGGUCUGACGGUACCCACAGAAAAAGUUCCGGCUAACUACGUGCCAGCAGCCGCGGUAAUACGUAGGGAGCAAGCGUUGUUCGGAAUUAUUGGGCGUAAAGAGCGCGUAGGCGGUUUGGUAAGUCUGGUGUGAAAUCCCGGAGCUUAACUCCGGAACUGCAUUGGAUACUGCCAGGCUUGAGUGUGGGAGAGGAGAGUGGAAUUCCCAGUGUAGAGGUGAAAUUCGUAGAUAUUGGGAGGAACACCCGUGGCGAAGGCGGCUCUCUGGACCACAACUGACGCUGAGGCGCGAAAGCUAGGGGAGCAAACGGG